GUAACAGAAUUAGUCUGCUCAUUGGAACUGAAUUAUUCAAGAUCUUCCAAGCACAAAUUUGUUGGGUGUAGUCUCAGUUUCUUGAGCAGGUAUUUUUCCAAUUUACUUGCUAGUGAAAACACCACUGCAGUUUCAUUUUAAACAGGGCCAAGACUGCUUGUUGUUUUUUGUUUUUUGGUGGUUUUUUUUUUCUUUCAUGUUAUAUCCCAUGGUAUUUAAAAAUGAAGGUGUCCAUAGUUCAAAUGUAAGCGCAGGUAAGUCAAUGUUCCACAGUCACUGAUAUCCUGAGUGGCAACACAAGGUAGUAGAUAAUGAAAUGAAGAACAGCUCGAAAAUGUAGCUUUGUAACUUUGCAUAAAGGUAAGUGUAUGCAUGUUUGUGUGCCAGCAGCCAAGGGUGAGGGCAAAGCAGGCUGGACAGGACCUGCCCUGACAAGGGCAUCUUCUCAUGGCAUCUGAGCAAGAUGAGCAGGACAGGUCCUCUGAGAGCAAACUGGGCUGGCUGGAUCAUUAGAGAAGUCUUCAGCAACGGGGCAAGUCCAAGGCUGUCAGGUGGAGAACAGCCAGUCACAUUAGGGGAAGAAUACAGAUGAUCUGACACCAUCCUGGAUGUGAGAAGAUGGAUGACAUCCCAGGUCUAAAGGGUAUUACAUACAAGCCUCACAGCAUGUGCCUAAGGUUAUGCUAACAGUAGCAAAAUGGAGCCUGGCCAAGCUUUGAAAAGAAAGUAUGUAGUUGGAAGUUUUCUAAGGAUACCUCCCAGAAAAUACAGGAAAUUUGAAUCACACCAACUCUGUCCCCAUCCAGCUUCUCUUGGCAUCAUCAGAGCUAUUUCCAAACUAAGCCAGAUAAAAUAUCCAGUAUUGAACACCAUGGUCCCAGCAAUAAAACUAAGAUCCACAGUGCUACUGUUUAUGAAGACUGUUCCUCAACCACUCUUUCAGGAAAGGCUGCUGACAGAAAAGGUGGACAAGCGUGGCUCAAUCACAUCUUGUUCAGCAAAAUCUCACCAAAUACCAAUCAGUCAUGGUGGAAGUGGCUUAACAACAGAUCCAGUUGUUCACACAAAUUAAAAGAAGAAGACAAUGAAACUGCAUGCUUGGGGCAUCCCAAGAAGUAUCUGCAAUUUGAGGGAGUCUCCUUUGAAAUCCAGCCCAGUAUACUUAAUUCUCUUAGCUAGAGACACAGUAUGGGAAUGCUUGGGAACCAAGGGUGAGCUUCCCAUAUGACACUCCAUGAAAGACUGACUUGCUGGGUGAAGAAACUCUGCUGUAGAAAGAUUUACACCCAUACUGCAAGAUUGCUAAUUUAGUCUGCUGAGAUCCUGUCUCCAACAGCUGAUUGUGUUGACAAUGCCAAGAAGCACAUUCAAGCACAUCCAUGUUCCUCUAGGCUGAAGGUCAUAGUGCACACACAGCCUAAAGAAUCACAGCACUUCAUCAAAAUUGUUAAUUGUGCUUACUGCACCUGCAUCCUGGUGAGAUUUAAAUAAUAAUUGUCCUGUCCAUAGUCCUGUCUGACUCUUGGGGCAGGCCCUUUCCACUUGUAGUGAUGGGCUCUUGUCAAGAACAGAACCAAAAUCAGUAGCAGAUCCUCCAUCUUCCCAAGAGAAGUCCAUAUGUGAGGUGCUGAGUCCCUGGCCCCAAUCCAGCAAAGCAUUCAAAUAAUUUACCUGUGCAUUUUGUGUCAGUGAUCCUGUGCUUGGGGAUGAACCUGCAUGUUGAUGGCUGCUGCAGGGGAGAACAAGUCCUUAACAUGCUGGGUGAUGUGGAACAACAAGAGCAGCAUUAAACCAAAACAUGGUAUUUGAACUUCUCACUUUUAAGAUUUUCAGGCCUUCCAUCUGAGUGACAUCCAUGCUCAAACAACUACUUUCAGCAGGGAUUUUUAUACUGAAGCCUCCUUUAGGCUCUGCAACAUUACAGAGUGGAACCUGGCCUUCAACUUACAACCAGUCCCACUAACAGGAGUCACAAAUAAGACAGAAUUCAAAGAAUAAGUAUUUUUGGUGCAUGUCUGGUAUCUGAAAUACAUUUCUCUGCUAGAUGCCACGACCAGUUAAUUUUCAGAAGUAAUUUUCACCAAUAUACAGGGAAAUAAGGAGCCGAACAGUGUGAAGUACAGAAAAAGUUGCUGUGAGACAUGCAGACUCAGCUCCAAAGGCAAAAAAUUGUGCAAGAAUUCCCUGUAACUGAUGACUUAUUAAACUAAGGUGUGUUUAUGAACUACAGGAACUGGGUAGUUAUCUACUUCCUGGAAGUUCUUAAGUGUUGCCUGGAACAUUUAAUUCACUUUAACUGAACAAAGUCAACUAUAACACAGAAAAAUCCCACAGGUUACAAACAAAGCCUGGCAAGCUUUAAAAGAGGGAAGAGCAAGACUGGCAUGCACAACAAACCACUAGAGCCAGUCUCAAGCUGUUGUAAUUUACUUGCUGCAUGUUUGGUGUGUCUUCACAAGCAGCCCUGUCUCCUGGUGCUUUCUAUUCAACAACCUUGUCCUAGCAAAUGCUGAGUGUUGCUCACCUUCUCUUUAGCCUUGCAGCCUGUUAAGUACACCACUGCCACAGUGGCUAAGCACUCUCCUUCCAAAGGAAAUAAACCAUCAUGGUAUUUUACACUCUACAGAAGCCAUUUCCAAAAUUAAAAACUUUCAAGCACAGCUUCCAUACCAAAAGUGCCAGGACAGAAAGCUACUGCUGACUUCUACCUUGCCUCUGGUGCUCAUCCACAAACCCACCAGAUGGGGAUAAGCAGCUGCCUAGCAAACUAAGUGCACCAUGGCACAAUAUA